AAAAAAAAUACAAAAAAGAUCCCUUU
rnacentral:sRNA from 1 species